rnacentral:rRNA from 1 species
UACGAAGGGGGCUAGCGUUGCUCGGAAUCACUGGGCGUAAAGCGUCUGUAGGUGGCUUAAUAAGUCAACUGUUAAAUCUUGAGGCUCAACCUCAAAAUCGCAGUCGAAACUAUUAGGCUAGAGUAUAGUAGGGGUAAAGGGAAUUUCCAGUGGAGCGGUGAAAUGCGUAGAGAUUGGAAAGAACACCGAUGGCGAAGGCACUUUACUGGGCUAUUACUAACACUCAGAGACGAAAGCUAGGGUAGCAAAUGGG